UGCAGGGGUUGUCGAGCCUGGCCAAAGAUGCAGGACUUAGAAUCCUGUCCAGUAGUGGUUCCAGGGUUCAAAUCCCUGCCCCUGCAU
rnacentral:tRNA from 1 species